rnacentral:lncRNA from 1 species
UUAAUUCUCGUGUCAUAGUUUGAAAAGAGUUAAAGUUUAAUACAGUGUCAGUACACAUGAGCGAUGUUAAUAUUGUGAAAUAUCACUGAUGAAGUAUUUGUGUUGGACAAAAUUAUUCUUAUUUUAACCAUCUGUCAUAAUCUUACUGCUUAUGUAUACACAGCUAAAAUAUCAAAUUUAAAACGAUCCGAAAAAAGAAAAACUAUUAAUAUACAAAAUCAGCAACAAUUAAUUAUUUUACUUAUGAUCAGAAAGCUUCAUUAAUUGUCAGAUAUGAGAUUUAUAUCCUCAACCGGAUCCUCCCUUACAUUAACCGGGCAAAUUUGUUUAGUGUAUCUCCAAUUGCAUAACGACAAAACAAUUCCUGCAAAUACACAAACCAUGAUAAUACACUCUUUAACAAGCUUAUUAUGAUUUUAGUCUCAUUUAUUUUAAUAAAGAUAGUAUAAAAUAACAUCAUAUCUCAUUACAUUUAACAAAUUUAAGAAUAAACAUGGAUAUUAAUUGUUGGUUGUGAUUCAAAAUUUUAGUUUUAGUAAAGUCUCACAUUGCCUAUUUUGAGAACCUUUCAUGUGUAUAUUAGUAUAUUAUAGUCUUAGGUUUAGUAACAUGGUUGAGUAAAAAGUGAUGGGCACACACACACACGAGGAUGACUUAAGAAUUGGGUUGGGCUAAGUUUGAAACUUAGACUUUUGGCCAGAAAACCUUAAUACAUGUGUUUAUUUUGCUAAAAUUGUUUCUCCUUUAGCCUUCCUCCAUUAAGCCUCAGCAAUCGCUUCAACGUUCAUAUUUUUUACCAUUCUGUUCAUCCUUUUUUUCCUAUAAAUACCGGUCUGAUCUUAGGAGUUAAUACACUUACAAAAUUAUUCUCUUUUUACUAUAUACACUGUUACUAUUUUAAUUUUUGGGCAAUUCACAAAGAUAAGUCCAAAAUCUCCUUCUGUGAGUACAAACAAUUGGAGGCUUUGUCGUUGAAUCUUGAAGAGUGGACGCCAGAGCUCAUCUAUAACAAAGGUUAUAACCAGUGAGAACGAAAUCACUUUUUAGGAUAGUAGCUUUGAUACACGGUUUCCAUAUAAGUUGUUCUAAUUUUACUGUUUGUUCGUCUUGUUAAUUAAUACAGCAACUUUUUAAUAUAUAUAUAUAUAUAUAUAUAUAUAUAUAUAUAUAUAUAUAUAGGGUCAGGAUCAGGUAAGGGAUCCCUUACUUUCUUNNNNNNNNNNNNNNNNNNNNNNNNNNNNNNNNNNNNNNNNNNNNNNNNNNNNNNNNNNNNNNNNNNNNNNNNNNNNNNNNNNNNNNNNNNNNNNNNNNNNCCAAAACACUGUAUUAUGAAAAAAUUUCAGUUCCAUAAAAUAUUAAACUUUUUUUUUAGUUGUUUUAAAAAAAAAAGCAAAAAAAAAAACAUAAAAAAAAAGUCCCUCAUUUUAAAAAAGUAAGGGAUCCCUUACUUGAUCAUUUCUGUAUAUAUAUAUAUAUAUAUAUAUAUAAACUCUUGUCAAUUUUGGAAAGGGGGUUUUUUUGGUAGCUUUUUUUUAAUGGCCUUUACUUUGGAGGGAUGUCAGCACAAGCACAAAAAUAAUUAUAUAAUCGAUAUUAAGAAUCUCUCAAUGACAAUAUUGAUAAAACUCAUAAUCUAUGGAUGAAAAUUUAAACCUCACAAUAUGGACGAAAUUAACUCCACAAUAAGAAAAAAAGAAAGUCUCACAAAAGAUGAAAGAUAGUGCCUGGAUAUGUUAUAUUUAGAUUGAGUUUAAUGAAUGAAAUAAAAAAUAGUAUAUAGGAUAUAUGGGAAGAUAUCUAUAACUUGCGUUAGUUAUAGACACUAUUCAAGUUAACUCAUUUCCUACCGUCCAAUAGAAGAUCUAAAUAUUUGGUUGGGACCGGUCUCUACUCUCUCACGGUCAGCCAAAUUUUUUUAUGUUGACCGUUACACGAAAGGUCGUAUAAAUUAAUUAUGAAACUUAAAAGUAAUUAUACUUUAAAUUACAAAAAUAUAGCUAAUUAAUAUUUCACCCGCUAAUUGGUUCACAAAUAUAAAGAAUUAUAAAAUAAGUAGUAGACUAAUAUAAAGAAUAAUACUUGACUAGAUAAUUUGGGAAUAGUAGUUGACUACGUAAUUUAUUUAUGGGUAAGAAUAUAAUAUAAACUCAAUCACAAAUGUUGAGAGAGAGAAAAAAUACAAACUCACAAAUGUUGAGAACUGAACUUGAAACCAUCAGUCUUAAAUCAUGCUAAGAUCUCAUUGACAGAUCAUUCAUUUUGUUGAAUAGAGGGAGUAAUGUAUUUUGAAAAUAUAUAUAUUUAUAUAUAUAUAUAUAUAUAUAUAUAUAUAUAUAUAUGUAUAUGUAUAUCCUAAUAUACAUACAAGUUUACAACAUAAUUAUGAUCAAUUAUGCAUGUAAAUAUGUAUAGAAAUAGUGCACUAAGAACACUUACCAAAAACUUGAACAACAACUAGGAAUCCAAUGUUGGUUGAAGCCAUAUUCCUUCUUUUAACUUAGGAUGAGUUUUGGCCAUUGCGUCCAUUACUUGUAGGGAAAAAAAAGUUAUGAAAAAACGCGUGACUGAAUUUUUCAAAGUCUUC